GCCGCGAUGGUCUAGUGGUAUGAUUCUCGCUUAGGGCUCACCCUGAGUUGAUCGCUGGGAAACCAGCCGAUUACAAUUUGCGAGAGGUCCCGGGUUCAAUCCCCGGUUGCGGCC